rnacentral:rRNA from 1 species
UUAACUUUCCUUCGGGAAGAUAUAAAGUGGCGCACGGGUGAGUAACACGUAGGUAAUGUACCUUUGGGUGGGGAAUAACAGUCGGAAACGACUGCUAAUACCGCAUAAUGCAGCGGCUCCUUAUGGAGACAGUUGUUAAAGAUUUAUCGCCUAAAGAGCAGCCUGCGGCAGAUUAGCUAGUUGGUAAGGUAAUGGCUUACCAAGGCUACGAUCUGUAUCCGACCUGAGAGGGUGGUCGGACACACUGACACUGAAUAACGGGUCAUCACUCCUACGGGAGGCAGCAGUCGGGAAUUUUGGGCAAUGGGCGAAAGCCUGACCCAGCAACGCCGCGUGAAGGAUGAAGUCUCUCGGGAUGUAAACUUCGUAAGAAUAGGAAGAAUAAAUGACGGUACUAUUUGUAAGGUCCGGCUAACUACGUGCCAGCAGCCGCGGUAAUACGUAGGGACCAAGCGUUGUUCGGAUUUACUGGGCGUAAAGGGCGCGUAGGCGGCAAUUCAAGUCAGUUGUGAAAUCUCCGAGCUUAACUCGGAACGGUCAACUGAUACUGCUUUGCUAGAGUACAGAAGGGGCAAUCGGAAUUCUUGGUGUAGCGGUG